rnacentral:rRNA from 2 species
AUUGAACGCUAGCGGCAUGCUUUACACAUGCAAGUCGAACGGCAGCGCGGGGCAACCUGGCGGCGAGUGGCGAACGGGUGAGUAAUACAUCGGAACGUGCCCUGUGAUGGGGGAUAACUACGCGAAAGCGUAGCUAAUACCGCAUACGACCUACGGGUGAAAGUGGGGGAUCGCAAGACCUCACGUCAUAGGAGCGGCCGAUGGCGGAUUAGCUAGUUGGUGAGGUAAAGGCUUACCAAGGCGACGAUCCGUAGCUGGUCUGAGAGGACGACCAGCCACACUGGGACUGAGACACGGCCCAG